UGGCGGCGUGCCUAAUACAUGCAAGUAGAACGCUGAAGAGAGGAGCUUGCUCUUCUUGGAUGAGUUGCGAACGGGUGAGUAACGCGUAGGUAACCUGCCUGGUAGCGGGGGAUAACUAUUGGAAACGAUAGCUAAUACCGCAUGAUAUUAAUUAUCGCAUGAUAAUUAAUUGAAAGAUGCAAUUGCAUCACUACCAGAUGGACCUGCGUUGUAUUAGCUAGUUGGUGAGGUAACGGCUCACCAAGGCGACGAUACAUAGCCGACCUGAGAGGGUGAUCGGCCACACUGGGACUGAGACACGGCCCAGACUCCUACGGGAGGCAGCAGUAGGGAAUCUUCGGCAAUGGGGGGAACCCUGACCGAGCAACGCCGCGUGAGUGAAGAAGGUUUUCGGAUCGUAAAGCUCUGUUGUAAGAGAAGAACGGGUGUGAGAGUGGAAAGUUCACACUGUGACGGUAUCUUACCAGAAAGGGACGGCUAA
rnacentral:rRNA from 1 species